AACGGUAGAGGGGGAUCCUUGAGAGUGGUGAACGGGUGAGUAAUAUAUCGGAACGUGCCCAGUCGUGGGGGAUAACGUAGAGAAAUUUACGCUAAGUACGCAUACGAUCUAAGGAUGAAAGCGGGGGAUUCGCAAGAACCUCGCGCGAUUGGAGCGGCUGAUAUCAGAUUAGGUUGUUGGUGAGGUAAAAGCUCACCAAGCCGACGAUCUGUAGCUGGUUUGAGAGAACGACCAGCCACACUGGGACUGAGACACGGCCCAGACUCCUACGGGAGGCAGCAGUGGGGAAUUUUGGACAAUGGGCGAAAGCCUGAUCCAGCAAUGCCGCGUGUGGGAAGAAGGCCUUCGGGUUGUAAACCACUUUUGUACGGAACGAAACGGUCUGCUUUAAUACAGCGGGCUAAUGACGGUUACGUAAGAAUAAGCACCGGCUAA
rnacentral:rRNA from 1 species